ensembl:snoRNA SNORA70 Small nucleolar RNA SNORA70
AACAAUGUUAUUGUAAGGCUGCAAACGGCACUUGCUUGGUAGUGUAUGCAAUCUGUGGCUUAUACAAGUUGCUCCCAGGGACCUUGGAGACAUUC